rnacentral:rRNA from 1 species
CGCAUCUGUGCAUGCAGCAUAUCAAUAAGCGGAGGAAAAGAAACUAACAAGGAUUCCCUCAGUAACGGCGAGUGAAGCGGGAAGAGCUCAAAUUUGAAAUCUUGAAAGGUCACCUUUCACGAAUUGUAGUUUAAAGAAGUGUUUUCUGUUACGAUCGUAAUAUAAGUUCUUUGGAAUAGGACAUCACAGAGGGUGAGAAUCCCGUCUAUGAUUGCGAUUUGUAGCUUUGUGAUACACUUUCAAAGAGUCGGGUUGUUUGGGAAUGCAGCCCAAAACGGGAGGUAAAUUUCUUCUAAGGCUAAAUAUUGGCGAAGAGACCGAUAGCGAACAAGUACCGUGAGGGAAAGAUGAAAAGAACUUUGAAAAGAGAGUUAAAUAGUACGUGAAAUUGUCAAAAGGGAAGCGUUUAGCACCAGUGUUGUUUUCUGAAAAUCAACCUCUGUUAGCUUUAUGCAUGUUUGUUUAGACCUAAUCAGCUAUCUUUCAUGUUCUAUUGUUUGCAGUGGUGCACUUUUCAGUUUACAGGUCAACAUCAGUUUUUUUUACCGUAAAAAAGUUAAAGAAAGGUAGCUCAUGGCUCCGGUCGUGAGUGUUAUAGUCUUUUUCCUAUGCGGUAGGAGAGACUGAGGUCUGCAGUGUAGGCUAUUUGGCUAGAUACUCAGGUGCUAUGUGAUACCAUUUCAUAAACAACUUGUUGAUUAUGUUUUGUCUAUUGCAUACUCGCUUGUACUAUCAUACCUACGCUUAGGAUGUUGACGAUCAGCUGAGCGCG